AACAUUCUGGUCUUGCCUUAACAUUUCACCUCUCAUAGAACCACUUCUUUUGGAGCUGCAGGAAUACACUCCGCUUCCUCUUCCCCAAUCUAAUGCCCCCUUCAACCCUCGGAGUUAAACGAAAUCCUUCAUUGUAUAAAACUAAGCUCUCUGAAAAGUUCACCAUAUCUAGUGUAACUUCAUUAUCACCAAUCUCGAGAUGUUUAAAAGCCAGUUCAUUAAGGUCAUAAGAAACCAGCUCUCCACUAAUCAUUAACAUUCCAAAGUCACUAUUGUUGACAAUGCCUAAUGGCCUUACAAUUCUUUCCUCUGGCACAAUCGAGUAUUGUUUAGUCCAAGACUCCACCAUGCCAUACUCCCUCAUCACCCAAAUGUAACAGCCCUCGAUUAGUCUAAGAUUGCUGAUGCUGCAAACAAUCAGGGCAAGUGAUUCUCUUAACACGGCCACAGAAACUUGAGGCCUUUCUCCUUCGCCAUAUUCAUGAUACAUUGGAAGCAUUAUCUCUCCAAACUUCUCAGAAUCAAAAUCAAACAACAGGACAACAUUUGCAGAGGAUUCUUCUCCGGUUUAGAGGCAAAAAAAUGGACAGCUUCAUUGAGAAAUGCUGAUGAAAAUGUAUCAUUUGCAUAGUAUCCAGCAUUAUUUCCAAUUGUUCUCCAUGAAUUCGUUGCUAGCGAAUAUACCUCAACUCUUGGUGGUUUUUUUUCAACAUAUAAUGGCAUAUAAACAUCUCCAAAAUACAUUAUCCUUACAUUAUUUGAGGAUGAUUAUUUGGAAAAUGGAUUAAUUUGAGGAUUAUUAUUAUUUUUUUUUUUUGGAAAUGGAUUAUUUUGCUGAUGAUGAUGAAUCUGAUUAUGAUGAUUAUUAUUUUUGAAAUGGAUUAUUAUUUUGCUAAUGAUGAUCUUUUAUUUUGAUUAUUAUUAAUUUUAUUAUUAUUAUUAAUGAUAAAUUAUAAUUAAUUAAUACACUAAGAACAUAUGAAUAUAAUUAAUCAAUAUAUUAACAAUAAUUAAUAAUAAUAAUAAUAAUAACAAUUAACAAUAUUAUUAUUAUGAUAAAAAAAGAAAUAUAAUUAAUUAAUAUAACAACAACAACAAUGAUAAUAAUAGUUAUUAUUAUAAUUAAUUAAGGGUACUUUAAUAAUUUAAAACAAUUCAACUCAUUCCGAUUAUGAUUUUUACAGCUUAAGUAAAUAAUUUAUUCUAAUUGUCAUUCCCUAUUCCGAUUCAAGUUUAUUCCGAUUCUAGGCCAUUCCGAUUACUGACAAAUAAACGCAGUAUUUAUUGCUAACAAGUGGCAUAAUUAAAGAGGAAUUAAAAUAUUUAUAUCAUCUUAUAGUUAUCGUUUCAGUUUUGAUUUUAAAUGAUUAGGGAAUAGAUGACUGGAUACUUAAAGAAGAGUUAGAACAUUUUUAUUUUAUGUAUAGUACUUGAAAUUUCUCUACUGACUGUAUCUUCAACUUGUUCAUGUGCAUAUAGCACUACAGCUGGUAGAAACUAUAUAUGACUAAAGCUGGGCUUUAGUUUACUUGAAACGUUAGGAAACUAAAUGUUUAAAUUUAUAUUUAAAAAAAAUGAUGCAAGAUUUAAAAAGUUAAACAUUACCUCAAAUGCAUAGGUUUUAAUAUUUUUCCGAGUGUCACGCGCAUAUGUCAUAACCAUGCGCAUUAACUGUCACUACCGCAAAAGUUGCUGCCACAGAAGAUACUAGAAUCUUUGACGCAAAAUUAAUCACUUCAAUCUUAAAUAUAGCUGAGCCGAUGAUACAUAUACCUCAUCAAAUACUGAGGUGGAUUUAAAAUAUCAUGGACAUACUGCAAUUUAUGUGAGAUAUGAACUUAACAUAAUACAUGGGAGUUUGAACAUGGGACCAUACCAAACGUGUGGGGAAAUAUAAAACAUCUGGCGAUAAAAGGGGCCUUAAUUUAGGGACUAACAAGAUAAUCUUUAAAUGGUACAAAAUUAAUCCGUGCAAAAUAAUUUGAAAAUGCCAUCACCAAUUAUUUGGAUGUGAUUGUGGGAUGAGAUCUUGUCAUUAGCGAAGACUUGUACAAGUCGUCAGCAGAAAGGGCAGAAGUUGUUUUCAAUUUUUAAUGCCUUAUUUUGUCGUCCUUUCUCUGUUUUUAAACCUUUCCAACUUUGACUUUUGAACAAGGGGAGGCCGUCUUUUGUUUUUUUUCCUUUUCCUUCCUCUUCUACUAAUAACCAAGCAAAACAGUAACUAACAGUUUGAACAGCAUUUUCGUUUCUACAAAUUUAAAAUUACCCUGAAAAUUUUGAUACUGCAUGCAUUCGGAAAUACAUAACAACUGAAUUAAUUCGUUCAAAUUGGAAAAUAUCAUUCAAAAAUAUAAUUAGAUAAAACUCAAUCUUUAUUCUACUUCACCUCUUCACCAUUCACUUGGAUUUAGAAAGCAAGAAAUAUUUCAUGAUCUCAUCAUCUCCCUUGUGGGUCAAUGAUCUCAGAGAAGACAUCUCUACAGAGGGAUCCGCUCACAGAACAUUGUUCAUUUGAAAGAUAAGCCUCAUGACCAAACUUUCCACUCUCCUCUGCGCUCUCUUGUAGCUGAAAUGCAAACUCAAGACCACGAACCACAUCACUCAUGGAUGGCCUUUGGGCUCCAUCAUCAUUCAAGCAGCUAAUUGCAACCUCAGCAAAUUUGUUCAAGCAUUCAGCUGUUAUGUUACCUUUCAAAAGCGGAUCAACAAUCUCAUCAAUGGUUCCAUUGCGAUAACAUUGUUCAGCCCAAACAGCUAAACUCGCUUGAUUCCUUUCCAUUGUCCGAAUAAUAGGUGGUCGAGCGCACAAUGCUUCCAAUAACACAACGCCAAAUGAGUAGACAUCGGAUUUUUCCGUUAGCUGCUGAAGUCGAUAAUACUCAGGAUCUAAGUACCCGAUGCUCCCCUUCACUAUAGUACUGACAUGAGUUUUGGACAUGGAAUUGGGUCCAAAUUUGGACAGUCCAAAAUCAGAAACCUUGGCCACCCAUUUCUCAUCCAACAAGAUAUUCGUUGUCUUCACAUCCCGAUGAAUGAUAACUUGCUUCGCCCCAGUAUGCAGAUACUGCAGCCCACGAGCCGCGCCUAUGCAAAUGCCAAGCCGUUGACUCCAUGGAAGAGGAGGAUUAUUGCUGUCAUAGAGAUGAUCCCGUAGCGUCCCACGAGCCAUGAAAUCGUACACAAGGAUCAUCUCCCCGUCAUCAUUGCAGUAACCAAUGAGAGUGACCAACCCUUUUAACAGCCAAAUAACUAACUACUGAAAAAGCUUGAAUCAAUCCUUUUUAGCAACUCUGAUUUCUCAUACUGAUCCUGUAAGAAUAAUUUUCAAUCACGUGCCUUGAAAAUAUUUUGAUGGAAAAUUAUUGACUAUUCCUUUGUCUCUUUGGCACAAAAGAAUUGAUCAUUAUCAAUUCUUUUGUGUGGGAAUGUGUAGUCCUCAUUAUAAAUUUUCGAAAACCAUGCUAAACGUUUUAAGGAUAUCGAAAUAUUAGAAAAUUGAUGGUAAAUUUGCAAGGAUGUCGCUGUUCAUAACUGAUAUUUGAUGAUUGAUGUGCUCUUAAUUUAAAUAUUAUUUUAAUAUUUUUCUAACUUAAUUUUAUAAUAAAAUUUAUUUUAUUAUGUUAAUUUUUUUUAUUUUGUUAGUGUAGAUAUAUCUUGGGAAUAAGAAGAAAUCAAUUGGAGCUUAAAGAAUAAUGGAGUACAAAACUAAUACCUUAUGGAAACAAAUAUUUGAUUGUCAAUUUUGCCAAACACAUGAGAAGUCAAACCGUGAGCAUGAAUUUAAAAGAAGAAAAAAAGGGGAAUGACUUCCAAGUUUAAGUUAUUCAAGUGGAGUGCACUAAAGGAUUAAUUGAUAAAUUAAAAUGGCAAGCAUGUGGUGGGCUUUUUGGACAAAUCCUUACUGGCUUAGCAAUUAUAAAGUUGUUUUGAUUUAAGGAUUGACCAUACCAAACAAGCACUUGGAGGACAAAGAUUAUUAUAUAAAGAGAUGAAAAACUGAGAACAAAAGAAUUCAAAAGAGAAGCAACCGUAGAAUUUUAUCGAAGCCGAGAGAAGAGAAGAGCUGCAAGAGAUCCAGAGAUAAGCCGAGAUUAAUUCUUGAGUUUUGCAAUAUUUUUAAGCUAAGCCAACGUUCCAGGAACAAUAGGAAUUGAUUGUUCCUUGGUGAAAUUCAAAGAACAGAAACAAGAGAUUCUUCAUUCAGGAACAAAUAAAACAAGUAACGAGUCUUUAGAAUCAAAUUAUGUCUGCAUACAUUUGUAUCAACAAAGUGUCAUCAUGAUGUGGUGCCGUGGUUCCGGUGCUCCUUUUGUAAUCAAACAUUCUGGUCUUGCCUUUGCAUUUCACCUCUCAUAGAACCACUUCUUUUGGAGCUGCAGGAAUACACUCCGCUUCCUCUUCCCCAAUCUAAUGCCCCCUUCAACCCUCGGAGUUAAACGAAAUCCUUCAUUGUGUAAGACUAAGCUCUCUGAAAAGUUCACCAUAUCUAGUGUAACUUCAUUAUCACCAAUCUCGAGAUGUUUAAAAGCCAGUUCAUUAAGGUCAUAAGAAACCAGCUCUCCACUAAUCAUUAACAUUCCAAAGUCACUAUUGUUGACAAUGCCUAAUGGCCUUACAAUUCUUUCCUCUGGCACAAUCGAGUAUUGUUUAGUCCAAGACUCCACCAUGCCAUACUCCCUCAUCACCCAAAUGUAACAGCCCUCGAUUAGUCUAAGAUUGCUGAUGCUGCAA
rnacentral:lncRNA from 1 species